rnacentral:rRNA from 1 species
CCCUUCCGUAAGGUGAACCUGCGGAAGGAUCAUUACAGAGACAUUGCCCCUUGGGGUAGAUCUCCCACCCUUUGUUUACCUUACCUUUGUUGCUUUGGCAGGCCCGUCUUUGGACCACCGGCUUAGGCUGGUCUGCGCCUGCCAGAGAACCCCAAAUUCUUGACUUUUUGUGUUGUCUGAGUAAUAUUAUAAUAAGUUAAAACUUUCAACAACGGAUCUCUUGGUUCUGGCAUCGAUGAAGAACGCAGCGAAAUGCGAUAAGUAAUGUGAAUUGCAGAAUUCAGUGAAUCAUCGAAUCUUUGAACGCACAUUGCACCCUCUGGUAUUCCAGGGGGUAUGCCUGUUCGAGCGUCAUUUCAACCCUCAAGCUUAGCUUGGUAUUGGGUGUCACCUGGUAAUGGGGUGCAUCUUAAAAUCAGUGGCGGUGCCAUCUGGCUCCAAGCGUAGUAAUUCUCUCGCUUUGGAGAUUUAGAUUUGUGGUUGCCAUCAACCCCUAAUUUCUUAAAGGUUGACCUCGGAUCAGGUAGGGAUACCCGCUGAACUUAAGCAUAUCAAUAGGCGGAGGAAGGAUCAUUUACAGAGACAUUGCCCUUGGGGUAGAUCUCCACCCUUUGU